UGUCUGUCAUUACAGUAAAUCAGAGGGCUCUUCGGCUUUAUCCGAGCGUCCUUCUGGCUGGGACGGCUGCAGCAGAUGUUGGAGCCUGGGACAAAAUGGAUUUCCCCCCGCUGAGAGCAGCUUUUCUUGCCCUCCUUAAUGGAGGCUCCUUGAAAUGCUAAUGCCCCACCAUUAGUAUAGCGGUGGUCUAGCAUAGUGAUGGUGGGAAAAAAAAGGAAGACCGCGAUCCCGACUGAAAAAAAAGCUUUGUCGCUGAACAACCCCUGGAAAACAUACUCUGCUGAUCCGGACAGACAAGCGUCCAGUGGAGGUGUGAGAAAGAGAAAGCAACUGAGGGAGAUAUUUGUCCCGCCACACACAGAGUUAGGGUGUGUGAUGGCAUCUCAUCCAGUGGCCUCCUCCCCUUUCCAUCCCUUCCUCAAAGUUCAGCUCAAAAGAGGGAUAAUGACAAUCGAGCAUACGAAUGAACCAAUUUCUACUUUGCACCGAGCAUUUAAAGGAUCAAGCGGCGACUCCCCAAAUUACGAGGCUUAACUCGUCGAAAACAUUUGAUGAUCAGCCGCUACUCGCUGUUAUCGGAGGAAUCAAACGGCGAAAAAGGCAAAGCUGCUUUUGCUGAACAGCAUGUGCCACAUGUUUUCACUCCUGGAGGCGUGCUGCAGGUACAGAGGAAGAGGAGGAGGAGGACAGCAGUUGUAGGAAUUUAUGUUCCUGUUUUGUGCAAAGAGGAGCAGAUGAAAGGGUCUGCAGCAUUGGCAUUGCCUAUCAUCUGGUGGUUGCUGUCGUUGAGUGGCAGGAUUAAGGCCCAUCCUUGUCAUCCCAUAGGGCAGAGUGCUUUGAUUGACAGCUGGGUUCAGCAUCUUGACACAGGUCUGUGCCCCCGUCAUCAUUGCUGAUCGUCCCAUGCUGGCCCCUCAGAGUGACAGCCGCCUGCAGAGCCAUUUACUCCUGGUGCAGCCGAAAAAAGCCCUCCUCCAUCAUUCGGCUUUCACCACGACUGCUUCCUCUCUCUCUCCUCCCCUUCCUCGUCUCUUCGUCACAACUUAUUUCCUUUUAAAAGUCCUCUUAUUUUUUCGUUCCUUUUUUAAAAUAGUUGUCAUUUACUUGUCUCUCCCCACCUCCCUACGCCUCUUCUUGACCUCAUCUAAGCCUCUUUUCUCCCUCCUCUGAUAUCAACCCUCUCUAGUAUCUAAUGCAGGCUACUAUUAAUCUAAAGGAAUCUGCCAGAUCUUAAUUAGGGUAAUUACUGUGUUUGUUUUAACUUAACACUGAUGACUCCACUCGAGCUACUAUCUUUGAGCAGGCCAUAACAGAUGGGGUGCUUAGUACUCUUUUGGGAAGGCUGACAGGAUGUCAGGAUGGAGCUGUAUGAUUUUUGAGCUUGAUGUUUGUCAGCUUAAUUUACCUCGCAGAACUGUUUAGCGGGAACUCCUCCCAAACCUUUUCCGUAGAUAUUUUUAGAAGUUAAACUGCUAUAUUGCUCAUGCAAAAUGGCUGGGUAGCUUUUAUUCACUGCCCUCUAAUACAACAUUGCCUGAAGAUGGUCAGUAAUGUCACUAUGUGUUGCAUUUUUUCACAUGUCUGUUGGGCCACAAGUGUCGAGUUUAUCGUCUCAGAUUCAUCUUGCAAGGUUAGGAACCACUGCACUAUACUAUAGAGACCCAGAGUGUCUCUUCCUAUCUUGUAGUUCACUCUAAAAUGGUAGGGGUGGGGGACGAGGGAUGUUCAGGGGUAGAUAAAAAGUCAACAGUAUAGUAUGUCACAUAGAAGUAGUGUACAUCAUCUGAAAGCUGGGAACCUGAAGAUUAAUUUGAUGUGCAGCUCAGUACUGUGUCAAGUUAUUCUAGUCAUUAAGAAGAAAGUAAUUAAAAAUAAAUUGUAAAAGUGCAUCAGGGCUUAGAACAGGAUGAUAUAAGUAUAUGAUGGCCAUUCCCACGUUCUAUUAUGUUUCAUAAGUUGUUGUAGCAAUGUCUGGGUUGAUACCAUUUGUUACACAGAUUUGGUGCUAAACUUAACCAUUUUUUUACCACUUAAGAAUUGUUAAAAAUGAUAAAUAAUCCUUCCAAAAUACCACAUUAAGACAGUAAGGCAUUGAUGAACACCGUAGAAAAAAGCCAUGCUGUGAUUUGGUAUCAAAAACUUUGGACAUUUGGAGAUUUCUGCAAGAAUUGCAUUUUUCGGUGAUUGGAUGGUGAGCAUUUCUGUUCUGGAAACUGCUCAGAAACCCAUUUAUUAUCAAUCUACCUAGUAAAACCAUCCAUCCUCUGAAUGCUCUAGGUCUCUAGUUUGUGGUUGUACAGUUUCACGAGGCUGUGAUUAUCCUAGAGGUCACCAAAGGUAAUUUUAUAUAGUAAGGUAAAAUUCAAAAAAAUGUUCCCUCUGUACUAAAUGGCUACUAUGAAGACUAACAUAAUCACACAUGAAUACAAUUGGGCUAAUUGGAUUCACAAGAGUCUCAGCUUUAAAGUGAUACCCAAUUUAUGUGAUUCCAAGACUGUUUAGGGACCCCAGUAUGCAGAAAUAUUCAAGCACACCAUUUUAUUAUGGGCCAAAAUAACACCUUUGUACUGCA